GCGUUAUGUCUGGUUAUUAUGUUUUU
rnacentral:miRNA from 1 species